GCCCCCCCCCCCCGUUGCUACGUGCCUGAACAUUGUUAUUUCUAAUGUUGAAGUAUGGACAUCUUUGUAAUGUUGGCCCGACAUUGUUGAACCAAUGUUGCUAUGUAAACUUAUGUUGAAGCGUUUAAAAAAAUAUUUAUUUAUUUUAUUUUUUAUUUCUUUAUUUUUUUAUUCAUUUUUAAUUAUUUAACCCUUACGUAGAUUUUCAAAACUAUGGAAUAUAACUUAGAUUUUUCUCUAAAACUGUCGACUAAUAGUACAAUUACGUCGGGAUCGAAGUCGGGCUCGAUAAGCAAUUAAUUUAAACAACACACCGCGCCGAAAUUUAAAUUUUUGGUGGGUUACACGCAGCCAUGUUGAUGUUGUACAGAAGGAAAGUUCGAAAGAGAGUGUCGCGAAAAGGAGAAUCAUGACUAGUUUUUGAUGGAAUUUCUGUUUUGACAGAAGAUGAAGACAUUUUACGACCCGGUACUGCGUUGCAUUCAGUGGACUGUGCCCGAGACGAUUCCCACAGCGCCGGCGAAUAAUCAGCUUGUAAAAAUGAAAUUGUGCCAGCAAAGUUUGAAGUGUCUAUGGAAAUGAUCAACAUUGAACUUUCUGAACCUUUCUACUUAAAGUGAAUCCGUUCGUGACAUGACCAUUUAUUUGGCUACCCUCUAACAUAACGCCAUCUUUUAUUUAUUUAUUAUUGUGAAUUUCAUGGGAUAUCAGUGAGGAAGUGAUUCAAGCAGACACUUGAGAAAUUUCGGAUCUAACUCAAUUAGGAUCUUUGGCAUAUUCGGUGAAAAUAGCAUGUGUUGAUUUUAUGGGAUCUUUUUUAUUAAUAUACUUGUGUAGGGGAUAUUUUGUACUUAAUACAUGUGUUUGUCACUCUAGUCUUUUCAUUAACUUUGUACGGUAAAUGUACAUGGGUAACUGGAAGUUCAUUGUAACUGCAAUGACCUCUCCCAAUGUCAUUAAGUCAAAUGCCAUAUUUUAAAAAAAGAAAUAGUUUGUUUUAUUACAAAGAAAUGUCAAUCAGU